rnacentral:lncRNA from 1 species
UGAAUGUGUGCUCACACAGGGCACAGGAGUACUCCCACUGUGUUGAGUACUCCCACUGAGUGUGUGAAUGCUCCCACUGGGUGUGUGAGUUCUCCAAACAGGUACAUGGGCAGUGCAGCUUAUGAAAAAGAGGCUUUGGAGAUUAGCUUAGAGGUCAGCUCCUGUCCCUGCUGAGCUCUGAGCGUCAGUCAAGCUCUUGGUUGUUGUCAAGCUGAGGUAUCGGAUCCAGUAGUUGAGACAGGUGUUUGGUGAAGUACGAUGUGGUCCUCUCAGGGAAGGUGGAUUUUCCUCCAAAUUCAUGUCCCAGUGAAGCAUAGACCACUCUGGUGUAGCCUCCCCCAACCUGAAGUGGGCUGGUACAAAUCUUGUCGCCACUGAGGUGCAGCUUUCUGACUCGGCUGGCUCCUUUUUGAAGUGACAACUGCCCUGCUCUUCUGCUACCUGCCGAGAGGCUGAACCUGUCUUCCUGAGAGAUUGCUGAAUAAGCAACCAGCCUGGCGACAGAGUGCUGACAGAAUGGCUCUGAUAGAACCUAGUGGGGAAACCCCCCCUCCAUUCCCGAUUCGGCGUGCACUCAAAAAAAUCACGAAGGACCAUCUUGAUGUAAUUACAUGAGGUCGUUUAAUUACGGAGCUCCGGACCGACAUGCAUCCCACACAGGAGAUAACGGGUGUCGGCCACGAGGCUCGAAAGCUAGGGGUUUUUAUGGGGUAAGGGGCUUAGGGGUAUGGAAUUCAGCACAGCAACACACUAUUGGCUUAUUCAAACAUCAGCAGAAAAAUUACAUGUACGUGCAGGGUGUCAGAGUUCUGUGAGUUGUUGAUUCAGUUCAGAUAGCCCUGUUAUGUCUUCACAUUCCCCUUUAUCUUAUGGUCAAGAUGUUCCCAGGAAUGUUUUAACUAUGGGGCAUACCCAGGUUUGUUUUUCUUUUUUCUCAGCCCCAGGCAGCCUCUAGGCUCACAAACAACCAGCAAUUUCUGAGUACGUUACAUGACUUACAGGUCUUGAAAUUUUAUCUUUCUUUCAGCUCCAGGCACCAAGAGUGGACUGGUUGGGGGGGGGGGUGGGCCUUCCCCCUUAUAAGCACAAUCUCUAAGUAAACUCGUGGGCCUUCUUGGCCUCGUUCUUUUCUCGCCGUCUAAGUUUCUUUCAGCCCCAGCCUGCCCCCCAGGUGUACCCGGUUCAUGUAGGCCGCAGGCCGGCAUACAACACUCAGGUAGCCAAUGGUGUUUGGAGUCAUUUCAAAGUGAUCUAGUACUUGAUUGAAUGGUGCUUGCUAACUGCAUCUUCACACAGUGGCAAGGAAGAGAACUCUCUGGGGCUUCCCUUAUAGGAAUUGUCAUGGUCUGAGCCUCCCAAAGGCUCGGCCUUUUGUGCCACCUUCCUCUGGGUUUUGUUGGUGAUGUUUAUGGUGUUUGUAUUUUGUGGUGUGUGUGUGUGUGUGUGUGUGUGUGUGUGUGUGUUAUACGUACUUGUUAGUAUAGGUAUUUACACGUGUGUGUGUAAGCCCAAUGAUGCUUAUUUAAUAUGUACGCGCAUAUAAUGUAUAUGUAUGUAUGUGGAUAUGCACAUGCCAUGGCCAUGAAUUGAAGUAAGAGGGUAACAUGUGCGAAUCAGUUCUAUCCUAUGUGGUGGGCCCUGGGGCUUGAAUUCAAGUAAUCAGGCUUAGCCGCAAGUGCCUCUCUGUUCACUGGGGCUCUCCCAUGUCAGCAUGAGCAUGAGGUUGGAGAGACCAUGGCCUGGACUGGCUUUCAAGAUGGUGGUUGAACUAUGGCUGUCUUGGGCUUCAACUUCACCACCCACUUCUUGAGCAUGGCAGUAUCCUGAUCAUUGCUGGUGCCGGCUUCAUCCUUCUUCCAUAUCCCAUUCGGCACCAAGACUAGCAGGAGCUUUAAGUGUCUUUUACUGUGUAAGUCUUCACCCAGAGGGGGGACAGAAUCUCAAACCUUCACAUGCUCACAUGCCCUUUUUUUUUUUUUUUCCGAGACAGGGUCUCUCUGUAUAGCCCUGGCUGUCCUGGAACUCACUUUGUAGACCAGGCUGGCCUCGAACUCAGAAAUCCGCCUGCCUCUGCCUCCCGUGUGCCACCACCGCCUGGCUUCGUUCACAUGCCCUUUCUAGACCCUUUCCACCUCUGCCACACUGCUGCCUACCACCAUAGUUGGGGGAAGGGGAGUGAGAAUAUCAAUCAAAUUAUAGAGUGUUUUUUUUUUUCCACUUUCAACAAAAUACAGGAGUGAGUUAAGUUCUCCCAGAGGCCAGAGGUUUGGACUAGCCUCAAAUUGUGUCCACAGCUUCUGACAGUCCAAAUGCUAGCUAGCUCAGCACCUGGGCACAUGCUAAGGCCUUGAGGACCCCUUUCUAGGAUUCCCAUUAUCAAUCUCGUGGUGGUCUGUCUUUGCCUCUUUCCCACAGACUGCUUCUUUAAUCUGCCCUCUACCAUCCUGCGGGUCCCUGCAAGGGUUCCCCAUAGACUGUCCCCCUACCCUGCAUCCGUCCCACCUCCCUACGUACCCAUGAACUCCAGGAAGGUGCAGUGUCCUUAUUUGGAUGAUGCAAGGCCACAGUACUAACAGCCAAUUAGGCAUUUAAACUAAGGCUCCUGCCACGUCUCUGAGGCGACAAUCACUUUCCCUAGCUAUUGGGAACCCUUACUCUCCACCCACACACAGCAACAUUCUUUUUUUUUUGUUUUUAAAGAUUUAUUUAUUUAUUAUAUGUAAGUACACUGUAGCUGUCUUCAGACACACCAGAAGAGGGAGUCAGAUCUUGUUACGGAUGGUUGUGAGCCACCAUGUGGUUGCUGGAAUUUGAACUCUGGACCUUCGGAAGAGCAGUCGGGUGCUCUUACCCACUGAGCCAUCUCACCAGCCCAGGAACAUUCUUGAGUAAAAGAUUUUCCAAAUGUACUGACUGAUAGUCACCUGACCCUCUGCAAAGUCCCAGGUAGAGUUCAAAUGUGUGUCAUGUUUGCUAGCCAAUAGAUUUAAAGGUCAAUAUGCUUACCCAAUAAGCUUGAACUGUAACCUUGCUGAUGUAACCUGUGCCCCUAAAAAGUAUAAAAACUGUUUGUAAUAGCCAUUCAGGGUCACCUUCUUGUCACUCGCCUUGAGGGACUGAUUGAGGUUGACCCCAUGCGCCGGAAAAUAAACCUCUUGCUUUUGCAU